AACGAACGCUGGCGGCAUGCCUAACACAUGCAAGUCGAACGAGACCUUCGGGGCUAGUGGCGCACGGGUGCGUAACGCGUGGGAACCUGCCCUUAGGUUCGGAAUAACUCCCCGAAAGGGGUGCUAAUACCGGAUAAUUUCUUCGGACCAAAGAUUUAUCGCCUUUGGAUGGGCCCGCGUUGGAUUAGCUAGUUGGUAGGGUAAAAGCCUACCAAGGCGACGAUCCAUAGCUGGUCUGAGAGGAUGAUCAGACACACUGGGACUGAGACACGGCCCAGACUCCUACGGGAGGCAGCAGUGGGGAAUAUUGGAAAAUGGGCGAAAGCAUGAUCCAGCAAUGCCGCGUGAGUGAUGAAGGCCUUAGGGUUGUAAAGCUCUUUUACCCGGGAUGAUAAUGACAGUACCGGGAGAAUAAGCGCCGGCUAACUCCGUG
rnacentral:rRNA from 1 species